CCCUUAGGUGUUCUGGGCCGCACGCGCGCUACACUGAUGCAUUCAACGAGCUUCUUCCUGGUCCGAGAGGAAUGGGUAACCUUUUGAAAGUGCAUCGUGAUAGGGAUAGACUAUUGCAAUUAUUGGUCUUCAACGAGGAAUUCCUAGUAGACGUAGUUCAUCAGACUGCAUCGAUUACGUCCCUGCCCUUUGUACACACCGCCCGUCGCUCCUACCGAUUGAAUGCUCAGGUGAGCCAUUCGGACUUUCAUCAUGCUGGUUUCCAGUUUUGAUGAAGGAAAGUCUUGCGAACCUUAUCAUUUAGAGGAAGGAGAAGUCGUAACA
rnacentral:rRNA from 1 species